rnacentral:ncRNA from 2 species
AUAAAGAUUAGAGGUCGCAAUUGACAUCAUUAUUUAGCGGAGCUGGUAGGCUUAGAGACUAAAGAAAGGGGAUAUUGCCGAAAUGGAAAAUAGACAUAUUUUUCAUUGGUCUAGGUGUUAAUAGCAACUAGAUUGUCGUAAUGAUACAUUACGGAGCGCUUAUCGAUGA